rnacentral:rRNA from 1 species
UACGUAGGGUGCAAGCGUUUGUCCGGAAUUAUUGGGCGUAAAGGGCUCGUAGGCGGUUUGUCGCGUCGGGAGUGAAAUCCACUGGCUUAACUGGUGGCUUGCUUUCGAUACGGGCAGACUGGAGGUAUGCAGGGGAGAACGGAAUUCCUGGUGUAGCGGUGAAAUGCGCAGAUAUCAGGAGGAACACCGGUGGCGAAGGCGGUUCUCUGGGCAUGUCCUGACGCUGAGGAGCGAAAGUGUGGGGAGCGAACAGG